GCCAAUGUGGUGUAGUGGUUUGAGCAUUGGGCUGUGACUCUGGAGACCAGGGUUCGAUUCCCUGCUCAGUCA